GACGAACGCUGGCGGCGUGGAUUAGGCAUGCAAGUCGAACGGUAGGAUACCUUCGGGUAUCUGAGAGUGGCGAACGGGUGAGUAACACGUAGGUGAUCUACCCUCAAGAUUGGGACAACCCAGGGAAACUUGGGCUAAUACCGGAUGAAAGCAGCAGUGAUGUUGUUUGAAAGGUGGCGUAAGCUGCCGUUUGGGGAUGAGCCUGCGCUCUAUUAGUUAGUUGGCGGGGUAAAGGCCCACCAAGGCGAUGAUAGAUAGGCGGCCUUAACGGGUGGUCGCCCACACUGGGAUUGAGAUACGGCCCAGACUCCUACGGGGAGCAGCAGUCGAGAAUAGUCUACAAUGGCCGAAAGGCUGAUAGUGCGACGCCGCGUGAACGAAGAAGCCCUUCGGGGUGUAAAGUUCUUUUAUAUGUGAGCAGUGCUUUCUAUGUGAACAGCAUGGGGAGAGAGAUAUUAGCAUAUGAAUAAGCAACGGCUAACUCCGUGCCAGCAC
rnacentral:rRNA from 1 species